AGGGUUGUGGCUUAGUGGUAGAGCGCUUGCCUAGCAUGUGUGAGGCACUGGGUUCAAUCACCCUGCCCUC
rnacentral:tRNA from 1 species